GAUCUGGCUCAGGAUGAACGCUAGCGGCAGGCCUAACACAUGCAAGUCGAGGGGCAGCACGGUGUAGCAAUACACUGGUGGCGACCGGCGCACGGGUGCGUAACGCGUAUGCAACCUACCCAUAACAGGGGGAUAACACUGAGAAAUUGGUACUAAUACCCCAUAACAUCAGGACCGGCAUCGGUUCUGGUUGAAAACUCCGGUGGUUAUGGAUGGGCAUGCGUUGUAUUAGCUGGUUGGUG
rnacentral:rRNA from 1 species